rnacentral:rRNA from 1 species
CCCUUAGAUGUUCUGGGCCGCACGCGUGCUACACUGAGUGGAUCAGCGGGUCAGGUUGCGCGAAAGCGUUUCCUAAUCUUUAAAUCCGCUCGUGAUGGGGAUUGACGGUUGCAAUUUUCUGUCAUGAACGAGGAAUACCUUGUAAGCGCGGGUCAUCAUCCCGCGCUGAAUACGUCCCUGCCCUUUGUACACACCGCCCGUCGCUCCUACCGAUUGAGUGGUCCGGUGAGGCUUUGGGAUCUGAGCGGAAAGAGCGUUUCGCUGUUUCUGCUCGGAAAACUCAGUCGAACCUUAUCAUUUAGAGGAAGGAGAAGUCGUAAC